UGACUCCGAUGGCCUAGUGGUUAGAGCGUCCGCCUCGGAUGUGGAAGGUUGCGGGUUCGUAAUCCGGUAGAGUCAU